rnacentral:rRNA from 1 species
AGCUAACGCGUUAAGUGUUCCGCCUGGGGAGUACGCACGCAAGUGUGAAACUCAAAGGAAUUGACGGGGGCCCGCACAAGCGGUGGAGUAUGUGGUUUAAUUCGAUGCAACGCGAAGAACCUUACCAGGGUUUGACAUCCUGCGAACCUCUUAGAAAUUUGAGGGUGCCUUCGGGAAUGCAGUGACAGGUGGUGCAUGGCUGUCGUCAGCUCGUGUCGUGAGAUGUUGGGUUAAGUCCCGCAACGAGCGCAACCCACGUUUUUAGUUGCCAGCAUUUAGUUGGGCACUCUAGAAAGACCGCCGGUGAUAAACCGGAGGAAGGUGUGGAUGACGUCAAGUCAUCAUGCCCCUUACACCCUGGGCUACACACGUACUACAAUGCUACGGACAAAGGGCAGCAAACUCGCGAGAGCUAGCAAAUCCCAUAAACCGUGGCUCAGUUCAGAUCGUAGGCUGCAACUCGCCUACGUGAAGUAGGAAUCGCUAGUAAUCGCAGGUCAGCAUACUSCGGUGAAUACGUUCCCGGGCCUUGUACACACCGCCCGUCACACCAUGGAAGUUGGCCAUGCCCGAAGUCGUUACUCCAACCCUUGUGGAGGAGGACGCCGAAGGUGGGGCUAAUGACUGGGGUGAAGUCGUAACAAGGUA